rnacentral:rRNA from 1 species
AUGCAGUCGAGCGGCAGCGGGAAGAUAGCUUGCUAUCUUUGCCGGCGAGCGGCGGACGGGUGAGUAAUGCCUAGGGAUCUGCCCAGUCGAGGGGGAUAACAGUUGGAAACGACUGCUAAUACCGCAUACGCCCUACGGGGGAAAGGAGGGGACCUUCGGGCCUUCCGCGAUUGGAUGAACCUAGGUGGGAUUAGCUAGUUGGUGAGGUAAUGGCUCACCAAGGCGACGAUCCCUAGCUGUUCUGAGAGGAUGAUCAGCCACACUGGGACUGAGACACGGCCCAGACUCCUACGGGAGGCAGCAGUGGGGAAUAUUGCACAAUGGGGGAAACCCUGAUGCAGCCAUGCCGCGUGUGUGAAGAAGGCCUUCGGGUUGUAAAGCACUUUCAGUAGGGAGGAAAGGUAAUAACUUAAUACGUUAUUACUGUGACGUUACCUACAGAAGAAGGACCGGCUAACUCCGUGCCAGCAGCCGCGGUAAUACGGAGGGUCCGAGCGUUAAUCGGAAUUACUGGGCGUAAAGCGUGCGCAGGCGGUUUGUUAAGCGAGAUGUGAAAGCCCCGGGCUCAACCUGGGAAUUGCAUUUCGAACUGGCGAACUAGAGUCUUGUAGAGGGGGGUAGAAUUCCAGGUGUAGCGGUGAAAUGCGUAGAGAUCUGGAGGAAUACCGGUGGCGAAGGCGGCCCCCUGGACAAAGACUGACGCUCAGGCACGAAAGCGUGGGGAGCAAAC